CUGGCGGCACGCUUAACACAUGCAAGUCGAACGGAGAUUUUGGAGCUUGCUUCGAGAUACUUAGUGGCGGACGGGUGAGUAACACGUGAGCAACCUGCCUUUGAGAGUGGAAUAGCUUCUGGAAACGGAUGGUAAUACCGCAUAACGUUAUCUGACCGCAUGAUCGGAUAACCAAAGAUUUAUCGCUCAAAGAUGGGCUCGCGUCUGAUUAGAUAGUUGGUGAGGUAACGGCUCACCAAGUCGACGAUCAGUAGCCGGACUGAGAGGUUGAACGGCCACAUUGGGACUGAGACACGGCCCAGACUCCUACGGGAGGCAGCAGUGGGGAAUAUUGCACAAUGGGCGGAAGCCUGAUGCAGCGAUGCCGCGUGGAGGAAGAAGGUUUUCGGAUUGUAAACUCCUGAUCUGAGGGACGAUAGUGACGGUACCUCAGGAGAAAGCUCCGGCUAACUACGUGCCAGCCGCCGC
rnacentral:rRNA from 1 species